GCACGGAGUUAGCCGGGGCUUCCUCUGGUGGUACAGUCAAGGGCAAGAGGUAUUGGCUCCCACCCGAUUCUUCCCACCUGACAGGGUUUUACGACCCGAAGGCCUUCAUCACCCACGCGGCGUUGCUGCGUCAGGCUUUCGCCCAUUGCGCAAGAUUCCUCACUGCUGCCUCCCGUAGGAGUCUGGACCGUGUCUCAGUUCCAAUGUGGCCGAUCGCCCUCUCAGGCCGGCUACCCAUCGUUGCCUUGGUGGGCCAUUACCCCGCCAACUAGCUAAUGGGCCGCGGGCCCCUCCUCAAGUGAUAGCUUGCAAGCAUUGGCCAUCUUUGGUUCCAGGUCCCGAAGGUCCCGGAACUUUAUCCGGUAUUAGCCCACCUUUCGGCGGGUUAUUCCGAGCUCGAGGGUAGGUUACCCACGUGUUACUCACCCGUUCGCCACUUUACCGGGGGUAUUGCUACCCCUUUCUCGUUCGACUUGCAUGUGUUAGGCACGCCGCCAGCGUUCGUU
rnacentral:rRNA from 1 species